CUCAGUUCAGAUUGCAGGCUGCAACCCGCCUGCAUGAAGUCGGAAUUGCUAGUAAUCGCGGAUCAGAAUGCCGCGGUGAAUACGUUCCCGGGUCUUGUACACACCGCCCGUCACACCAUGGGAGUUUGUAACGCCCAAAGUCGGUGGCCUAACCUUUAUGGAGGGAGCCGCCUAAGGCGGGACAGAUGACUGGGGUGAAGUCGUAACAAGGUACC
rnacentral:rRNA from 1 species